UUUGAUCGUCCAACCGCCGCACUGGUAACCUAGAUUAUCAGCGUGAGUUCCGGCUACUAAGAUCUUCGGCGCCUUCUUCGACAGAGGAAGAACUGGAUCAUCUGCAUUUUCGCCGUUCUUCAAUAGAACAAGUCAAUUAACCUGGCUUCCAAGCUCAUUUACAAAUCUGUCAUCGGCCAAUGGAUUCUCAAACAGCCCCAUUACGAACUUGACUCUCAAGAUCCUCCUUACAGCGUCGUUGAUUCGGUACAUCGGAACAGCCUUGCUGUUGACAAGGUAGGUAAGGCCAUCGAUGAACUCCUUGUAAUUUGUAGGAACCAUGAACUGAAACACGACAGUAAAACUAGUUUUGUAAGAUCUAAGAUGCCAUGUUCAUUGAGAUUGCCUAUGUUGAUAAUCUUACCAUGUCUAUUCCUGCUU